rnacentral:rRNA from 1 species
AGUGAACGCUGGCGGCGUGCCUAAUACAUGCAAGUCGAACGGAGAUUAAGUAGCUUGCUAUUUAAUCUUAGUGGCGCACGGGUGAGUAAUGUAUAGUUAAUCUGCCCCAUAGUGGAGGACAACAGUUAGAAAUGACUGCUAAUACUCCAUACUCCUUCUUAUCAUAAGUUAAGUCGGGAAAGUUUUUCGCUAUGGGAUGAGACUAUAUCGUAUUAGCUAGUUGGUAAGGUAAUGGCUUACCAAGGCUAUGACGCGUAACUGGUCUGAGAGGAUGAUCAGUCACAUUGGAACUGAGACACGGUCCAAACUCCUACGGGAGGCAGCAGUAGGGAAUAUUGCGCAAUGGGGGAAACCCUGACGCAGCAACGCCGCGUGGAGGAUGACACUUUUCGGAGCGUAAACUCCUUUUGUUAGGGAAGAAUAAUGACGGUACCUAACGAAUAAGCACCGGCUAACUCCGUGCCAGCAGCCGCGGUAAUACGGAGGGUGCAAGCGUUACUCGGAAUCACUGGGCGUAAAGGACGCGUAGGCGGAUUAUCAAGUCUCUUGUGAAAUCUAGUGGCUUAACCACUAAACUGCUUGGGAAACUGAUAAUCUAGAGUAAGGGAGAGGCAGAUGGAAUUCUUGGUGUAGGGGUAAAAUCCGUAGAGAUCAAGAAGAAUACUUAUUGCGAAGGCGAUCUGCUAGACCUUAACUGACGCUGAUGCGUGAAAGCGUGGGGAGCAAACAGG